ACCCGGAUAGCUCAGUCUGUAGAGCCUGAGACUCUUAAUCUCGAGGUCGUGGGUUUGGGCCCCACGUUGGGCG